rnacentral:rRNA from 1 species
GACGAACCGUGCGAACGUUAUUCGGAAUCACUGGGCUUAAAGGGCGCGUAGGCGGGUCGGCAAGUCAGGGGUGAAAGCCCCCAGCUCAACUGGGGAAGUGCCUUUGAUACUGCUGAUCUCGAGGGAGGUAGGGGCGUGCGGAACUUCCGGUGGAGCGGUGAAAUGCGUAGAUAUCGGAAGGAACACCGGUGGCGAAAGCGGCGCGCUGGACCUCUUCUGACGCUGAGGCGCGAAAGCCAGGGGAGCAAACGGG